rnacentral:rRNA from 1 species
UACGGGGGGGGCAAGCGUUGUUCGGAAUUACUGGGCGUAAAGGGCCAGUAGGCGGCCAACUAAGUCGGAUGUGAAAUCCCCAGGCUUAACCUGGGAACUGCAUCCGAUACUGGAUGGCUUGAAUUCGGGAGAGGGAUGCAGAAUUCCAGGUGUAGCGGUGAAAUGCGUAGAUAUCAGGAGGAACACCGGUGGCGAAGGCGGGUCUCUGGGCAACAACUGACGCUGAGGAGCGAAAGCGUGGGGAGCGAACAGG